GAUGAACGCUAGCGAUAGGCUUAGCACAUGCAAGUCGAGGGGCAGCAUGGUCUUAGCUUGCUAAGACUGAUGGCGACCGGCGCACGGGUGCGUAACGCGUAUGCAACUUGCCUCACAGAGGGGGAUAACCCGUCGAAAGACGGACUAAUACCGCGUACACUUGGGAUAGGGCAUCCUGACCCAAGGAAAUGAAAUUCGCUGUGAGAUAGGCAUGCGUCCCAUUAGCUAGUUGGUGAGGUAACGGCUCACCAAGGCGACGAUGGGUAGGGGAACUGAGAGGUUGAACCCCCACACUGGUACUGAGACACGGACCAGACUCCUACGGGAGGCAGCAGUGAGGAAUAUUGGUCAAUGGGCGAGAGCCUGAACCAGCCAAGUCGCGUGAAGGAUGACUGUCUUAUGGAUUGUAAACUUCUUUUAUACGGGAAUAACAAGAGUCACGUGUGGCUCCCUGCAUGUACCGUAUGAAUAAGCAUCGGCUAACUCCGUG
rnacentral:rRNA from 1 species